GCAUCCCCGACAAAAUUGUUAAAAUAUCCUGUUAGAUAUUUAACAAGGACCGAACCCAUUAACCAAGUUGUAUUUGAUAUAGACCAGAACUUCAUUGUUCACAUAUUUUGAAAUGUUUGUUAGAGAUUUGAGAUUUUUUGUAAGGCAUUUGUGUGGUCGAGCAAGUGCUGCGGUGUUGAACUGCUCGUAUGAUCGUGUACGGCAUGGAUCACUGAACUCCUGGUUUUGUCAUCGCUAAGGGCGGAUUUAAGGGCAAACCAGGGUUCAUAUCUGCAUGUUGUCGGACUGCGGGAGUUAGGCCGAGCAUUGCGUCGCACACGAAAGUCCACUGAUGAAACUGAUUAUUAAAAAUUUGUACAGGAAAUAAUUUUCUUGUGAAAAUUAUUUUUUUCUGGGCCGGCGGAGUGUAACGAGUAUUUGGAUACUCGUUUAGUUGAUUUGUUUCUGCCAUCUGUUAGGGCGUUUGAGAAAGAAUUGUAUUUGUGAAUUUGUGUUAUUUUGUAAGCCAGCAGGGGCUUUAUGCUCAGCUCGGCAUAAGGAGAGUGUAGCUGGCCGAGUGCAGCACGACUCGUCCGCCUAGGGUGGCUUGGCCGCGAUGGGCCAAGACCACGAGAACGGUUUCGCAUUGAGUUGCGGAUACAAACCAUUUCAAGUUGAUUGUACAAUCUACCCAAAUUUUUGAUACCUGGCCAACUGGCUGUAGUGCGCCCAUGUGACGACUACAAAUCUGAUAUAGGAUAAUGCGGUGAUGACGGCGGAAGAUCUGAGUUUAGAGGACCUUGUACCAACGGAUUUGAAACGUUAAAGUGCAAGACUCUGAGUGAAGUCCAACGUUCAUGUCAAACGCCCUUUCUGUGUAUUGAUAAGUAUGAAUGUGCAAUAUUGUAUUGACUAACCCCUGAAAUUAUCAUUUGGCCGAAACGUCUUUAUAAUUAAAUCGACGUCUUUAAAAGAAUUUUAUAAAAA